rnacentral:rRNA from 1 species
GACGAACGCUGGCGGCGUGCUUAACACAUGCAAGUCGAACGGAAAGGCCCUGCUUUUGUGGGGUGCUCGAGUGGCGAACGGGUGAGUAACACGUGAGUAACCUGCCCUUGACUUUGGGAUAACUUCAGGAAAGUGGGGAUAAUACCGGAUAGGAGCUCCUGCUGCAUGGUGGGGGUUGGAGAGUUUCGGCGGUUGGGGAUGGACUCGCGGGUAUUAGCUUGUUGGUGGGGUAGUGGCUUACCAAGGCUUGGAUGGGUAUCCGAAUUGAGAGGGUGGUCGGCCGCAUUGGGAGUGAGACAGGGACCAUACUCCUGCGGGAGGGACCAGACGGCAAUCGUAGGCAAGGGGCGGGAACAUUAUGCAGCGGGGCGGCGUGGGUGACGAAGGUCUCCGGAUCGGGAAGCCCGGCUUUUGGGGGUAAACCGCUGUCGCCUGAGACGAAGCGGGAGUGACGGUAAUGGGUAAAGAAGCACCGGCUAACUACGUG